rnacentral:rRNA from 1 species
GAUGAACGCUAGCUACAGGCUUAACACAUGCAAGUCGAGGGGAAACGAUAUUGGAAGCUUGCUUCCGAUAGGCGUCGACCGGCGCACGGGUGAGUAACGCGUAUCCAACCUGCCCAUCACUUGGGGAUAACCUUGCGAAAGUAAGACUAAUACCCAAUGACGUCUCUAGAAGACAUCUGAAAGAGAUUAAAGAUUUAUCGGUGAUGGAUGGGGAUGCGUCUGAUUAGCUUGUUGGCGGGGUAACGGCCCAGCAAGGCGACGAUCAGUAGGGGUUCUGAGAGGAAGGGCCCCCAAAUUGGAACUGAGACACGGUCCAAACUCCUACGGGAGGCAGCAGUGAGGAAUAUUGGUCAAUGGGCGAGAGCCUGAACCAGCCAAGUAGCGUGCAGGAUGACGGCCCUAUGGGUUGUAAACUGCUUUUAUAAGGGAAUAAAGUGAGCCACGUGUGGCUUUUUGCAUGUACCUUAUGAAUAAGGACCGGCUAAUUCCGUGCCAGCCGCCGCAGUAA